rnacentral:rRNA from 1 species
UACGUAGGGACCAAGCGUUGUUCGGAUUUACUGGGCGUAAAGGGCGCGUAGGCGGUCGUGACAAGUCACUUGUGAAAUCUCCGGGCUUAACUCGGAACGGUCAAGUGAUACUGUCGGACUAGAGUACAGAAGGGGCAACUGGAAUUCUCGGUGUAGCGGUGAAAUGCGUACGAUAUCAGGAGGAACACCGGUGGCGAAGGCGCCUAUCUGGCCCGAUACUGACGCUGAGGCGCGAAAGCUAGGGGAGCAAACGGG